rnacentral:rRNA from 1 species
AACGAACGCUGGCGGCAGGCUUAACACAUGCAAGUCGAGCGCAUCCUUCGGGGUGAGCGGCAGACGGGUGAGUAACGCGUGGGAAUCUACCUUUUGCUACGGAAUAGCUCCGGGAAACUGGAAUUAAUACCGUAUGUGCCCUUAGGGGGAAAGAUUUAUCGGCAAGAGAUGAGCCCGCGUUGGAUUAGCUAGUUGGUGGGGUAAAGGCCUACCAAGGCGACGAUCCAUAGCUGGUCUGAGAGGAUGAUCAGCCACAUUGGGACUGAGACACGGCCCAAACUCCUACGGGAGGCAGCAGUGGGGAAUAUUGGACAAUGGGCGCAAGCCUGAUCCAGCCAUGCCGCGUGAGUGAUGAAGGCCUUAGGGUUGUAAAGCUCUUUCACCGGAGAAGAUAAUGACGGUAUCCGGAGAAGAAGCCCCGGCUAACUUCGUGCCAGCCGCCGCAGUAACAC